rnacentral:tRNA from 1 species
AGCCUCGUAGCUCAGCUGGUAGAGCACUCGCGCUACUAAAGCCAGGGUGGUAACCAUGAGUGGGUUUGAAUCCCGCCGGGGCCA